UUACGAACUUUAUCCAAUCUAGUGCGCUUUUAUGUUUACCGAGUCCAGAGCUGGAGAAGUAGGGCCUCGCUGCAUUAGGGUUAGCUUUUCUUCCGUAGCGAGGGAUCCAUCCCAUCAUCAGGUCGCAAGAGAAGAGGGCGAGAUGCCGAGGAGUGGCUUCUCCGGCUCCGUUCCUCAAUCGGGCGGUGAAUGAUUCUUGGAAAGACCGGAGCCUGUUGAUUGUACGAAGAUGGUUUCAAAUAUGUGGGUCCAAGCUUCUUCCUCUAAAGCCAUGUUAUUGUCGCCAAUAUGUGCUUCUAUUAAUAGGUUACGGCAUCCUGCUCCUUGUCUUCCCACGAAGCCCUUAAGAAAACUUCCCCUAGUAAAAGCAAAGUCAAUGGAUGACAAGCAAAAUCUACCACUGUCUUCAAAAGGAAAAAACCCUCUUGCACUCGUUCUUGAGAUUCCACGGACAAUCUGGAGGCAGACCUUGCAGCCGCUGAGUGAUUUUGGUUUUGGCCGGCGGAGCGUCUGGGAGGGGGGUGUUGGCUUGUUCAUUGUUUCUGGGGUUGUUCUCUUUGCUCUAAGUAUGGCAUGGUUGAGGGGAUUUUAUUUGAAGUCACGAUUUAGGAAGUAUCAGGCAGUGUUCGAGUUCUCUCAAGCUUGUGGGAUCUGCAUAGGAACUCCAGUUAGGAUCCGAGGUGUGACUGUUGGAAAUGUCAUCCAUGUUGAUUCUUCUUUGAAGAGCGUUGAUGCAGUUGUUGAGGUUGAAGAUGAUAAGACUAUUAUACCUCGAAAUUCAUUGGUUGAGGUGAAUCAGUCUGGCCUUCUUAUGGAGACAUUGAUUGAUAUCACACCACGAGAUCCACUACCAACUCCCUCAGCUGGCCCUCUGGAUCCAGAUUGUGUCAAAGAAGGUCUUAUUGUUUGUGACAGAGAGAGGAUAAAGGGACAAGAAGGGGUGAGCUUGGAUGCAUUGGUUGGGAUACUCACCCGUCUUGGACGGGAAAUGGAGGAAAUAGGUAUUAAAAGAAGCUACAAGUUGGCUGAAAAAGUUGCAGCUGUCAUAGAAGAAGCACAACCUCUGCUUACAAAGUGUCACAACAGAUUGAAGCCAUGGCUGAAGCAAUUCAACCUUUGCUUGCUGAGAUUCGUGAUAGUGCUUUGUUGAAGGAAGUUGAGAGUUUAACUAAAAGCCUGGCUGAAGCAACUGAAGAUCUGAGGAAGGUCAACACUUCCAUCCUCACUCCUGAAAAUACUCAAAUGAUUCAGAAGUCGGUAUCCACACUGGUUAUCACAUUAAAGAAUAUUGAGGGUAUAAGCUCCGACAUUUUAGGUCUCACAGGUGAUGAGGCCACCAGAGAGAAUUUGAAGUCGCUUAUCAGGUCACUCAGCAGACUGUUGUGAGGAUGACCGGAACCUGCCCGCAGAGUAGUAUAUGUCAAUGGCAUUGAUCUGUCAGCAGGGAACAGGCAACAUAUGUUAGACAAACGAAUAUGGAAACAUAGGAUGUGCUUGGCUCAAAUCAUUAGCUUUUUUCUUCAUCCUAAUAUAACUUAUGUUUUGUUUCUGUAUACAAAUUCUGCCUUGAGAUUUCGACCCACCCCCGCUGAUUGAAAUGUUAAAUUGAGUUUUUCACUUGUGGUCAGCAGGUGAAAUGACUUUUCAAUUACCAGUUUAUGUGAAUUGCUUAUCACAAAGCAAUAUUAUGAU